rnacentral:rRNA from 1 species
GACGAACGCUGGCGGCGUGCUUAACACAUGCAAGUCGAGCGGUAAGGCCCUUUCGGGGGUACACGAGCGGCGAACGGGUGAGUAACACGUGGGUGACCUGCCCUCAGCUCUGGGAUAAGCCUGGGAAACCGGGUCUAAUACUGGAUAUGACUCCAUGACGCAUGUUGUGGGGUGGAAAGCCUUGUGCGGCUGAGGAUGGGCCCGCGGCCUAUCAGCUUGUUGUGGGGUGAUGGCCUACCAAGGCGACGACGGGUAGCCGGCCUGAGAGGGCGACCGGCCACACUGGGACUGAGACACGGCCCAGACUCCUACGGGAGGCAGCAGUGGGGAAUCUUGCGCAAUGGGCGAAAGCCUGACGCAGCGACGCCGCGUGAGGGAUGACGGCCU